AUUGAACGCUGGCGGCAUGCCUUACACAUGCAAGUCGAACGGCAGCACGGGAGCAAUCCUGGUGGCGAGUGGCGAACGGGUGAGUAAUACAUCGGAACGUGCCCAGUCGUGGGGGAUAACUACUCGAAAGAGUGGCUAAUACCGCAUACGACCUGAGGGUGAAAGCGGGGGAUCGCAAGACCUCGCGCGAUUGGAGCGGCCGAUGUCAGAUUAGCUAGUUGGUGGGGUAAAGGCCUAACAAGGCUACGAUCUGUAGUUGGUCUGAGAGGACGACCAGCCACACUGGGACUGAGACACGGCCCAGACUCCUACGGGAGGCAGCAGUGGGGAAUUUUGGACAAUGGGCGCAAGCCUGAUCCAGCAAUGCCGCGUGCAGGAAGAAGGCCUUCGGGUUGUAAACUGCUUUUGUCAGGGAAGAAAUCCUCUGGGUUAAUACCUCGGGGGGAUGACGGUACCUGAAGAAUAAGCACCGGCUAACUACGUGCCAGCAGCCGCCGUAAAAC
rnacentral:rRNA from 1 species